rnacentral:rRNA from 1 species
CAAGCCGUAAGGUGGAGCUAAUCCCUUAAAGCUACUCUCAGUUCGGAUUGUAGGCUGAAACUCGCCUACAUGAAGCUGGAGUUACUAGUAAUCGCAGAUCAGAAUGCUGCGGUGAAUGCGUUCCCGGGUCUUGUACACACCGCCCGUCACACCACGGGAGUUGGAGACGCCCGAAGCCGAUUAUCUAACCUUUUGGAAGAAGUCGUCGAAGGUGGAAUCAAUAACUGGGGUGAAGUCGUAACAAGGUAGCCGUAUCGGAAGGUGCGGCUGGAUCACCUCCUUUCUAAGGAGA